rnacentral:miRNA from 1 species
CCACUUGGAUCUGAAGGCUGCCC